rnacentral:rRNA from 1 species
UGGGGAAUUUUGGACAAUGGGCGCAAGCCUGAUCCAGCCAUGCCGCGUGAGUGAAGAAGGCCUUCGGGUUGUAAAGCUCUUUCGGCCGGGAAGAAAUCGGUCUCUCGAAUACAGGGAUUGGAUGACGGUACCGGACUAAGAAGCACCGGCUAACUACGUGCCAGCAGCCGCGGUAAUACGUAGGGUGCGAGCGUUAAUCGGAAUUACUGGGCGUAAAGCGUGCGCAGGCGGUUUGCUAAGACAGGUGUGAAAUCCCCGGGCUUAACCUGGGAACUGCGCUUGUGACUGGCAGGCUAGAGUACGGUAGAGGGGGGUGGAAUUCCUGGUGUAGCAGUGAAAUGCGUAGAGAUCAGGAGGAACACCGAUGGCGAAGGCAGCCCCUGGGCCUGUACUGACGCUCAUGCACGAAAGCGUGGGGAGCGAAACAGGAUUAGAUACCCUGGUAGUCCACGCCCUAAACGAUGUCGACUAGUUGUUCGGUGCAGCAAUGCG